rnacentral:lncRNA from 1 species
GAAUCUAUGAAGGGACAUCAUUUCUGAGCCCAUUGAGACUUGUAGUGAAAAACCAAGCAUCCCCUGAUAAAUAGGUAGUAGAAACAAACUACCUAUGAAAAUGCUUUUUGAUUUGUGGAUUUAUCUCACAGUGUUAAAUUUUUGAUUUGAUUCAACUGGUUGAAAACAUUCUUUAUGUAGAAUCUAUGAAGAGACGUUUUUGAGCUUAUCGAGAUGUAAGGUGAGAAACUGAAUAUCCCGCUAUGCAAAGUACAAACAAGCUCUCUGUGAAAAUGCUUUGUUAUAUGGGGAUUCUUCUCACUGAAUGGAUCUUGUGUUGUGAUUCACUGGGUUGGAAACACUUUUUUUUAGAAUCUAUGAAGGGACAUUUCCGAGGCCAUCGAGGCCUAUAGUGAACAACAGAAUAUUCUGUGAUAAAAACUAGAAACAACCUACCUGUGAAAACGAUUUGUGAUCUUUGGAUUCAUCUCACCACAUGGAACCUGUGUUUUGAUUCAGCUGGUUGGAAAAACUCUUUUUGUGGAAUCUACCAAAGGAUAUUUCUAAGCCCGUUGAGGCCUAUAUUAAAUUGAUUAUCUCAUGGUAAGAACUAGAAACAAGCUAUCUGUGAAAAUGCUUUGCAUUAGGUGGAUUCAUCUCAUGAAGUUAAACCUUUGUUUUAUUCAACAGGUUGAAAGCAUUCUUUUUGUAGAAUCUAUGAAAAGACAUUUCUGAGCUUAUUCUGGUUUAUAGAGUAAAACCGAAUAUCCUGAAAUAAAAACUGGAAACUAGGUAUGUAUGAAAAUGCUUUGUGAUGGGUGGAGUUAUCUCAGAGUAAAAUCUUUGUUUUGAUUCAACAGGUUGGAAAUACUCUUAGUGUAGAAUAUAUGAAGGGACAAUUUCAAAGACCAUUAAGGCC